UAAAAAAAACCCAAAAAAAACAAGUAACCCAUCGAAAGAAUAAGACCAAUGAAAAAAAAGAGAACGCAGAACUCUUCCUGCCGGUCGCAGCGCGCGCCCUGUGACAUCGAGCUGCUUUAAAACUGUUUGAUGAGGUCUCUAAAUAUUUCAGGGAAAAAAGGGAAAGUUCCGCACGCUGUUCUGUUCAGAUCCCAAUGAGCGAUAACUUCAUCACGUCAGAAGUUUCAGGACCCUGAAGAGAAAGUGGAGAGAGAGAGCGACCCUGAUCCGGAGGACAGGGUCUCUUUGAGGCUCACGCAGGAGGCCGGCUGCUCUUCUGAUUCAUCCUCAGAAUAAUCAUUUAAAUCACAGCUUCAUUUAAACCGAUUUAAGAAUUAAAUAUCAGAAAUUAACGACUUUAUGAUCAAACAUUUUAUGGAGAGCGGCUCUGAUACUCCGUCGUGGUUUUAUACAUUUAUAUAUUUUUACUUUAUUUUUCAGUGUGUUUCAGGUCGAUGAUUUAACGGCGUGCAGAUGUUGUAAAAUGUACGAGUCAUCAUGAUUAGAGUGGCACCAGAGAGCCUGGUGGUUAUGACUCGCGCCCGUGUACAGCGGCUAAAGUCCUCGUCACAGCAGCCGGGGGUUCAAAUCCGUUCUGUUCGAUCUAAUGAAGGAAAAAAAGCCCAAAAAACAACUUUAAAAAAAAAAGUCAAAUCAAACUGAAGACGGAAAAAUAAUAACGUUUUUAAAAUCAAAGAGCUGCAGAUUGCAGCAACACGAGCAUGAGUGCAACACAUCAAAGGUGAUAAAAACCUGAUCCACCGUGAUCACUGAGGCACCAUGAGGUCAGCGUGGUGAGGUCGACAUCGUGAGGUCAGCAUGCUGUUGGUCAGCGUGGUGAGGUCGGCGUGAUGAGGUCAGCGUGAUGUGGUCGACGUGGUGAGGUCGGCGUGGUGAGGUCGGCGUGGUGAGGUCGGCGUGAUGAGGUCGGUGUGGUUGGUCGGCGUGAUGAGGUCGGCGUGGUGAGGUCAGCGUGAUGAGGUCGGCGUGGUGAGGUCGGCGUGGUUAGGUUGGCGUGGUGAGGUCGGCGUGAUGAGGUCGGCGUGGUUAGGUCGGUGUGGUGAGGUCGGCGUGGUGAGGUCGGCGUGGAGAGGUCGGCGUGAUGAGGUUGGCGUGGUGAGGUCAGCGUGGAGAGGUCGACGUGGUUAGGUCGGUGUGGUGAGGUCAGCGUGGAGAGGUCGAUGUGGUUAGGUCGGUGUGGUGAGGUCAGCGUGGUGAGGUCGGCGUGAUGAGGUCAGCGUGGUGAGGUCAGCGUGGAGAGGUCAGAGUGCUGUUGGUCGGCAUGGGGAAGUCGGCGGGCGUGAUGAGGCGAGCGUGGUGAGGUCAGCGUGGUGAGGUCGGCGUGAUGAGGUCACCAUGUGUCCUCAGCCCUCCUCUCCCUCGGAGCGAUGAUGGAGGAGGAGGAGCCUCAGAGGAAUCUGAGGCAGACAUGUUUACCGUGACGGAGCUUUAAUAAAGAAAGCAGCGAGUGUGAAAUAACACAGUUUGUCUUCCCCCACGCCCCCCCCCCCCCCCCCCCCCCGCCCUCACUGCCGCCUCGUCUUCCUCCCAUCACAGACGCUCACACACAAAUGUUUGUUCUUCCCUAACAAGAUUGUGAAUUAUUAAUCGGAUCUGAAGCCGCUCCUCUAACCCGAUUGUGGAGGUGGGAUUGUUGGCGAGCGAUGCUGCAGCACGCCAUUCACUGUGAUGUAUGUGUCUGCACAUCUUUAGAUCCAAUUUAAUGUGAUUCAGAUAGAUUUCAGAGGGACAUCAUAAAAGGCAUUGCUGUGACCCGCCUGUACACUCCAUACGACCCCCCCCAUCCCCACGCCGCCCUCCCUCUCCCCCCUCCAUCGAACGUCCCGAUAUGUUGAUUCAAUUUGCUCGAUUCGACUCUUACCCCGCGCUGAUCUAUACAAAUGCAAUGCAGGUACACUAAGUAAAUAUGAAUACAUUUCCAAAUUGAAUCGCGGUGAAUGUAGUGCACGGAGGACAUCAUUUAGAGGCCGCUGUGCUGGGAAGAGACCACUCACGGGCUAAAUGACUGAAGCCCCCUCUCAGACGCACCAUUACUGCAGCUAAUGCCUUUAAAGACAUCGUUCUGCCAUCUAUCCUGCACUCUGCAGUAAUGUAUGGAGGCUGGGGAGGGACAAUACAGAGGGGGGGGGAGAGAGAGAGAGAGAGAGAGAGAAAGAGAGAGAGAGAGAGAGGGAUCGAUACGAACCGCCCCGUCCUCAUUCAGACACAUUCCUUUAAAUCCAUACGUUGGCCUGCAGCUCGUCCUACAUGGACUUCAUGUAUUUAUAUAAAUGUAGACGCUUCUUGUUAAUGCUGUUUUAAAUUUCUUCUCUGAAGGAUCAUUUGUCUCGUCAGAUCGGGUUGACACGAAACCAGAAUUUCCGCUGCCCAGUUCUGAUCCCUGUUGGAUACCAGGUAUAAUUCCCUCCAAGCACAGCAGACACAAGUGGCUUUCUUGCUACAGGUUUAUUUGAAGCUUUCCUCAAAUCCUCCAUGAAAACUAAACAGUAUAAAACAUGAAAAUUAUUUAACAAUAUGAGCAAACAUAAAUAAUAACAUACACAGCAUGUGAUGUAAUAUCAAUUAACCAAAAGUAAAAUACGAAUUAAAUCAAUUAAAUUACCUCAUUGGCUACAUGCUAAUAAGAGAGAAUUAAAGUUGAAUUUAAUGAGAGCCAGAGUCCAUGCUUGCUGUACCGUUGUAAAUCUAAUUCUAAUGAGAGCAGUCCAAUGUGACCUUAAAGGUAACUUCAAAAUAAAACGUCACUUGUAUUUAAUAAAAUGAUUAACUUAAAUGUAUAAAUUAUUAUUAUUAUUAUUAUUAUUAAUAAAUCUUGUACCAAAACUAAACUUAAAUACAACCUAAUUCUUAAAUUCUACCUGAAAAAGGUAAACAAUAAUUGCAACAGUUACACCCCGACUGCAAAAUCAGAAGUCCCAGUCACAAAGUUUUGAUAAUUUCUUCUUUUAAUCUUUAAAAUCGUAUUAUCAUAUAAUUAAAAAUAUUUGUUGUAA